UUAAAGUGUCACCAAAGGAGAAUCAGCAGGUGGCAGACAGGACUUGGGGGACACAGAACAGACAUGGGUUCAAAUGACACAGAGUGACGAUGGAGACGAGCGCUGAUGGCGUCCUGUGAUGGACCAGCGUCCUGUCCAGGGUUUGUCACAGCCUCAUCCCCAGUGUCACCCCACACCUGGACUGUCCACCUCUCUUUGCUCCUCGGUGGGACAGGCGACUUGGGGGCUUUUUACAGGAUGACCGCCACUGCUUUACUGCCUCUAGUGGUGAAACUCGGGGGUCUGCAGGUCCGAGUCUGCUUGAGAUUUGUCACCAGUUGAGGGUCUCAAGGUGUUAAAAAUAAAAGUGACAUUAAAGGAGGAGCACACAGGCUGAGGGGACACGGAGAGUUUAUUAAAUGAGGAGCAGAGCUGAGAGGAGAAGAAAAAGAAGAAAGAGGAGAAUUUAGGGGAGAGUGGAUGGGGGGCUCCGUCACUGACAGGGGGGUCAGUCUGAUCACCACUGCU